rnacentral:pre_miRNA from 1 species
ACAAUACUCCCUCCGUCCGGAAUUACUUGUCAUCAAAAUGGAUGUGUCUAGAACUAAAAUACAUCUAGAUACAUCCAUUUCAAUGACAAGUAUUUUCGGACGGAGGGAGUAGUAG